AAAUUAAAUAGGCAAAUCUAGGGAAAUCUAGAGACGCAAAGCUAUAGGGACUAAGGUUAUUUUAACUAUGUCAGCCAGUUGCCAAA
rfam:Clostridium disporicum strain 2789STDY5834856 genome assembly, contig: SCcontig000005